AAUUGUUCGCAAUGGGCGCAAGCCUGACGACGCAACGCCGCGUGGAGGAUGAAGGUCUUCGGAUUGUAAACUCCUGUUGCCCGGGACGAAAAGCUUCAACCUAAUACGUUGAAGUCUGACGGUACCGGGUGAGGAAGCCCCGGCUAACUCUGUGCCAGCAGCCGCGGUAAUACAGAGGGGGCAAGCGUUGUUCGGAAUUACUGGGCGUAAAGGGCGCGUAGGCGGCCAACUAAGUCAGACGUGAAAUCCCUCGGCUUAACCGGGGAACUGCGUCUGAUACUGGAUGGCUUGAGUUUGGGAGAGGGAUGCGGAAUUCCAGGUGUAGCGGUGAAAUGCGUAGAUAUCUGGAGGAACACCGGUGGCGAAGGCGGCAUCCUGGACCAACACUGACGCUGAGUGAGCGAAAGCCAGGGGAGCAAAC
rnacentral:rRNA from 1 species